rnacentral:rRNA from 1 species
UGCUUAACACAUGCAAGUCGAACGGAAACGAUAGAAGCUUGCUUCUAGGCGUCGAGUGGCGGACGGGUGCGUAACGCGUGGGAAUUUACCUUUUAGUGGGGGAUAGCCCGGUGAAAACCGGAUUAAUACCGCAUACUACUCUACGGAGGAAAAGGGGCCUCUCCUUGGAAGCUCUUGCUAUUAGAUGAGCCCGCGUAAGAUUAGCUAGUUGGUUGAGGUAAUGGCUCACCAAGGCAACGAUCUUUAGCUGGUUUGAGAGGAUGAUCAGCCACACUGGGACUGAGACACGGCCCAGACUCCUACGGGAGGCAGCAGUGGGGAAUAUUGGACAAUGGGCGCAAGCCUGAUCCAGCAAUACCGCGUGUGUGAAGAAGGCCUGAGGGUUGUAAAGCACUUUCAAUAGGGACUAAAUGUUCGUAGUUAAUAACUGCGGAUCUUGAAUUAACCUAUAGAAGAAGGACCGGCUAACUCCGUGCCAGCAGCCGCGGUAAUACGGAGGGUCCGAGCGUUAAUCGGAAUUACUGGGCGUAAAGCGCGCGUAGGCGGUUUAUUAAGUCGGAUGUGAAAGCCCUGGGCUCAACCUGGGAACUGCAUUCGAUACUGGUAAACUAGAGUAUAGUAGAGGUAAGUGGAAUUCCAUGUGUAGCGGUGAAAUGCGUAGAUAUGUGGAGGAACAUCAGUGGCGAAGGCGACUUACUGGACUAAUACUGACGCUGAGGUGCGAAAGCGUGGGGAGCAAACGGGAUUAGAUACCCCGGUAGUCCACGCCGUAAACGAUGUCAACUAGCCGUUGGGAGCAUUUGAGCUUUUAGUGGCGCAGCUAACGCAUUAAGUUGACCGCCUGGGGAGU